rnacentral:rRNA from 1 species
GAGUCGAGUAGUUUGGGAAUGCUGCUYUAAAUGGGAGGUAAAUUUCUUCUAAAGYUAAAUACCGGCCAGAGACCGAUAGCGCACAAGUAGAGUGAUCGAAAGAUGAAAAGCACUUUGAAAAGAGGGUUAAAUAGCACGUGAAAUUGUUGAAAGGGAAGCGUUUACGGCCAGACCUUUUCCUGGCGGAUCAUCUGGUGUUCUCACCAGUGCACUUCGCCAGGUUUAGGCCAGCAUCGGCUUCUGUAGGGGGAUAAAAGCAGUGGGAAAGUAGCUCCCUCGGGAGUGUUAUAGCCCUAAGCAUAAUACC